AUUGUUCACUGAGAAGCAUUCAGUCACAUUUGUGUCACUAGGUAGCAAAGAGAAGAGAGGCCAUCUACAUUCAGGGUUUUAACCCAUGAACAUUUGCGUGAUUUAGACUGACACU
ensembl:snoRNA